rnacentral:rRNA from 1 species
UAAGGUCACGGCGAGACGAGCCGUUUAUCAUUAUUAUAGGUGUCAAGUGGAAGUGCAGUGAUGUAUGCAGCUGAGGCAUCCUAACAGACCGAGAGAUUUGAAC